rnacentral:antisense_RNA from 1 species
GAGGUGAACAUCCAUAGUAUCAUACAAAUUUCUCAGCUGCCUCCUCCAAAACUGGCAUCAGCAGAAGAGCAAAAGAUGCUGGUCUUGCUAUGUUGCCCAGGGUAGUCUCAAACUCUUGGCCUCAAGCGAUCAUCCUGCCUCAGCCUCCCAAAGCAGUGGAAUUACAGGUGAGAGAAAUGAGGCAUGACAGAUAACUUGUAAGUUCUCAAAGUUUACAAUGGUAAAGCCAGGCCGGGUGCAGUGGCAUGCACCUGUAAUCACAGCAACUCAUGAGAUUAAAGCAGGAGGACCUCUUGAGCCCAGGAGUUUGAGGUUUCAGUGAGCUAUGAUCAUGCUACUGCACUCCAACCUGGGCAACAGAGCAAAACCCUGUCAAUCAAUCAAGCAAGCAGACAAGCAAGGAAGCAAGCAGCAGAGCCUCUGCAUGAGCUCAUGAAUGGCUGCUGUGGAAAAUUACUGACGUCACCAGCUGAAUAACAGGCUAUCUGGAGAGUAAGCAGAUGAAACUGAUGUUAAAUUAUCAAAUGUACAAGAUUUUGGGCUCCUGCCAAAACCUUCAUUGAGAACUAAGAAGAGAAAAACUGAAAACACACAGAGCUUUUUUUAAGCUUCUGAGCCAGCAGGCUGUUCCU